UGAGCGGAGAUAUAUGGAGCUUGCUUUAUAUAACUUAGCAGCGAACGGGUGAGUAACACGUAGAUAAUCUAUCCUAUACUGGGGGAUAGCCCGAUGAAAGUUGGAUUAAUACCGCAUAUAGCUAUAUAGUUGCAUGAUUAUGUAGUGAAAGAUUUAUUGGUAUAGGAGGAGUCUGCGGCACAUUAGCUAGUAGGUGAGGUAAAGGCUUACCUAGGCGACGAUGUGUAGCCGGUCUGAGAGGAUGAACGGCCACAAUGGAACUGAGACACGGUCCAUACUCCUACGGGAGGCAGCAGUGGGGAAUAUUGCACAAUGGGGGAAACCCUGAUGCAGCAACGCCGCGUGAGUGAAGAAGGUUUUCGGAUUGUAAAGCUCUGUUAGCAGGGAAGAGGAAGGACGGUACCUGCAGAGGAAGCCACGGCUAACUACGUGCCAGCAGCCGCGGUAAUACGUAGGUGGCAAGCGUUGUUCGGAAUAACUGGGCGUAAAGGAUGCGUAGGCGGUUAAACAAGUUAUAUGUUAAAUAUAUAGGCUUAACCUGUAGAAAGCAUAUAAAACUGUUUAACUAGAGUGCAGGAGAGGUAAGUGGAAUUCCUAGUGUAGCGGUGAAAUGCGUAGAGAUUAGGAAGAACACCAGUGGCGAAGGCGACUUACUGGACUGUAACUGACGCUGAGGCAUGAGAGCAUGGGGAGCAAACAGGAUUAGAUACCCUGGUAGUCCAUGCUGUAAACGAUGGGUACUAGGUGUGGGUUG
rnacentral:rRNA from 1 species